AAUUCAAGACCCUUUUGUUUUUGAAACAUAAGGGAUAUGUGAAAUUUUUUAGCAAAUACUUUUAUUUAGGCCUAGAAUUUUGGGUAGUAAUUGUGGUUGAAAAGUUCUAGGAAUGUGAGAGUAUGUAAUAAAUAUAAUUGCCUGUAUCUAAUUUGUGAAAUUGGGUGGGUAGGAAUUAAGCUAAAUGUGAUAUAUCUAUAUAUAUAAAUCCUAAAUAGUUCUCCUAUCACUAAUCCUAACCCUAAUUGUAUCAAUCAAUCAUAGCCUUUAGAUAAUUUCUUUUUGUGGAUAAAUCAAGAGUUAGAUAAUAAGUGAAACAAUCACCUCUUUUAAUGUUUUUUUAGUGCCAAACAUUUUGAUUGACAUUCUCACUAUAAUAAAAACGGUUUUGUGAAUUAAUUAUUUUAUAAUAUAUAUGUCUUAUAUCCCUCCUCAUACAUAUAUGGGCAUGUGAAAUUUCUAUUUGGAAGGGUUAUUAGUGUUGUAGAAGAAUGAUAUGUUUCUGAAAUUUUAUGAUUUUAUUGUAUCUUUCUUUUUCUUUGUAUUUAACAAGUGUAACUAUAUUGUUGAUUUUGCAAGUAUAUAUAGAUUUUGAUGCUCUUUAUUCUAUUUUAACAUUUUAUCAUAGUCAUUGUAUAACCCUUCUACCCAACCCUCUUUCUCAUCUUAUUUCUUCAUUUCUUUCCCUUUUAAUAUUCAAUAUUUAUUUAUUUUCUUAGCAUUCUUAUUGUCUAAUUUGUGAUAUUUCUGUAGUGGGACUUUACAUGAUAUUUACGAAACACUACAAAUAAAUUGUUUGAAAUGC
rnacentral:lncRNA from 1 species